rnacentral:lncRNA from 1 species
CCAGGCUGUUCCCGCUGAGGGGUGCCUGCAGGCCCAUGCUGAGCUGCCCUCAGCCCCCACCUCAGCUCCCUCUCAUGCUCAUUGGUGUCCCAAAUCCUAGAACGGGCCAAGGCGGCAGGGGGACUGGUGUGUCAGCGCUGGCUCGAGUGCGUGCACACCCAGUAGGAUCGUGACAGCACUCGGGCUCAGCCUCAACUUUGCUCCAAAAUCGGAGUGGGCACCGGGAGCCGGGAGAGGCCAGGCAGUAGGAGCAGGCACUUCAGAGCCUGCAGGGGAAGGGGGCUUCCCGGGCCCCCUAGCGCAGGCAUGUCCAGGUCUGUAGCUGAGACUAGUUGGCUGCAGCUGGGAGGGCUGGCCUCCCGACCCUCCAAUUCAGAAAAGGGCGGGGAUCCCUCCUGUUCCUGGCUCCAGGUGGCUCUGUGGAGCCCCUGCGCGCCUCCCCCACUGCAACCUGCGUCAUGGCAGCAGCUGCUCUAGAUAGGCCACAGCUGCCAUCAAAAGCAUAGCGCUUUCUCUGGCUGGUAGCGAAGGAAAAAGAGAUUAAAAGCACGAGAAAGACUCAACCCACUGACCCACCGUUGCUGGCUUGAUGGUAAAGAGGACAAUGUGGGGAAAGCAUUCGAAGAAAAUCACUUCUGCCAACAAUCAGUGAGUUUGGAGGUGGACCCCGAGACUUAGCUGACAGCCCCAGCAGAUAUAAUACGCUGAUUCAAGUUUAAUGAGACCCUGAGAAGAGAAUCCAGUCAAGGUGCUUUAGACUUCAGACUUUCAGAAGUUCAGACCUUCAGAACUGUGAGAUUAUAAACAGGUGCUGCAAAGGGAAAUUAUGUCUAGCAUAAGACACAAUCUCUGACAUUGAAGAACUUACAAUUGAAUUGAGGAAAUAACAUAUCUCCGGACAACUUAACAAGAAGAAGAGCUUUGAAUAAGUAAGGAUAGGUUCCUUUGCAUCCAGUGGAAAGACUUAAAUGCCGAAAUACUCAUUGAGUAACGCACUGGAUCAUUCCACAGGGUCUGCCUUUUGACUUCAACUAGCUCUAGCAAGUAUUUGGUUUUAAGUAUAUUUUCUUAAGGAAUUUGGCAGCUGAAGAAUAUUGAAAUUUUACUGGAAUCUCUAUGUACAGCCAGUUUUUAGCUCUGCCAAAUAAAAAAUGAUGAAUUAAUUUAAAAAUUUAAAUGUCUCCAAUUUAAAAUAAUAAAUCCCUUCUACUUCCUAGCAGGAGGGAACUGACCAUUUAUAAAGACUCUUGAUAACUGAGAAACUAUCCAAAUGGAAUAUGUUCCAUACAGGACUGGAAUGCUUAUUUUUAUUGAAGGUGUAUCUCAGGAAACUAUUCCAAACAACAUUUUCCCCUCAGAAGUCAAAA